UACGGGAGGCAGCAGUGGGGAAUAUUGCACAAUGGGCGAAAGCCUGAUGCAGCUAUGCCGCGUGUAUGAAGAAGGCCUUAGGGUUGUAAAGUACUUUCAUCGGGGAGGAAAAAACAAAACUAAUAAUUUUAUUUCUUGACGUUACCCGAAAAAGAAGCACCGGCUAACUCCGUGCCAGCAGCCGCGGUAAUACGGAGGGUGCUAGCGUUAAUCAGAAUUACUGGGCGUAAAGAGCACGUAGGUGGUUUUUUUAAAGUCAGAUGUGAAAUCCCUGGGCUUAACCUAGGAACUGCAUUUUGAAACUGAAAUACUAGAGUAUCGUAGAGGGAGGUAGAAUUCUAGGCGUAGCGGUGAAAUGCGUAGAUAUCUGGAGGAAUACCUGUGGCGAAAGCGGCCUCCUAAACGAAUACUGACACUGAGGGUGCGAAAGCGUGGGGAGCAAACAGGGAUUAGAUACC
rnacentral:rRNA from 1 species